UCGAUUGUGAGGAGGUAUCGAUGCAUAAUCCAACACUUGGUCCGAGGAUGGCUUGAGCCGCCUGUAUCUUUGCAACUGAAUCCAU
rfam:Triticum aestivum genome assembly, contig: Triticum_aestivum_CS42_TGACv1_scaffold_063157_1DL